AUACCGGCGGCUCGAGUGGUGGCCGCUUUUUAUUGGGCUUAAAGCGUUCGUAGCUGGGUCGUUAAGUCUCUGGUGAAAUCCCAUAGCUUAACUGUGGGAAUUGCUGGAGAUACUAUUAGGCUUGAGGCCGGGAGAGGUUAGGGGUACUCCCAGGGUAGGGGUGAAAUCCUAUAAUCCUGGGAGGACCACCUGUGGCGAAGGCGCCUAACUGGAACGGACCUGACGGUGAGUAACGAAAGCCAGGGGCGC
rnacentral:rRNA from 1 species